AGUGAACGCUGGCGGUAGGCCUAACACAUGCAAGUCGAACGGCAGCACAGUAAGAGCUUGCUCUUACGGGUGGCGAGUGGCGGACGGGUGAGGAAUACAUCGGAAUCUACUUUUUCGUGGGGGAUAAUGUAGGGAAACUUACGCUAAUACCGCAUACGACCUACGGGUGAAAGCAGGUGAUCUUCGCACCUUGCGCGAUUGAAUGAGCCGAUGUCGGAUUAGCUAGUUGGCGGGGUAAAGGCCCACCAAGGCGACGAUCCGUAGCUGGUCUGAGAGGAUGAUCAGCCACACUGGAACUGAGACACGGUCCAGACUCCUACGGGAGGCGGCAGUGGGGAAUAGUGGACAAUGGGGGAAAGCCUGAUACAGCAAUACCGCGUGGGUGAAGAAGGCCUUCGGGUUGUAAAGCCCUUUUGUUGGGAAAGAAAAGCAGCAGGUUAAUACCCCGCUGUUCUGACGGUACCCAAAGAAUAAGCACCGGCUAACUUCGUG
rnacentral:rRNA from 1 species